rnacentral:rRNA from 1 species
AAACCAACAGGGAUUGCCUCAGUAACGGCGAGUGAAGCGGCAAAAGCUCAAAUUUGAAAUCUGAGGCUCUCCAGCCCCCGAGUUGUAAUUUGAAGAUGGUGUUCUGGUGCCGGCCCCCUGUCUACGUUCCUUGGAACAGGACAUCACAGAGGGUGAGAAUCCCGUCUGGCGGGGCGGCCUGGCUCCGUGUAGAGCGCCAUCGACGAGUCGAGUUGUUUGGGAAUGCAGCUCUAAGUGGGUGGUAAAUUCCAUCUAAAGCUAAAUAUUGGCGAGAGACCGAUAGCGAACAAGUACAGUGAUGGAAAGAUGAAAAGAACUUUGAAAAGAGAGUGAAAAAGUACGUGAAAUUGUUGAAAGGGAAGGGUAUUGGAUCAGACUUGGUGCUGUGCGAAUAGCGGCCCUUCUUGGGCUGCCCACUCGCACUCCACCGGGCCAGCAUCGGUUUGGGCGGCAAGACAAUGGCGGGGGAACGUGGCACUGCUCUCGGGCAGUGUGUUUAUAGCCCCCGCUGAUGUUGCCUGCCUAGACCGAGGACUGCGGCUUCUGCCUAGGAUGCUGGCGUAAUGAUCCAACACCGCCCG